rnacentral:tRNA from 1 species
CUGUGGCUCAGUGGUAGAGCAUCUCCUUGGCAUGCAGAAGGUUCUAGGUUCAAAUCUCCAGUUAAAAGG